GACGAACGCUGGCGGCGUGCUUAACACAUGCAAGUCGAGCGGUAAGGCCCUUUCGGGGGUACACGAGCGGCGAACGGGUGAGUAACACGUGGGUGACCUGCCCUCAGCUCUGGGAUAAGCCUGGGAAACCGGGUCUAAUACUGGAUAUGACUCCAUGACGCAUGUUGUGGGGUGGAAAGCCUUGUGCGGCUGAGGAUGGGCCCGCGGCCUAUCAGCUUGUUGGUGGGGNGAUGGCCUACCAAGGCGACGACGGGUAGCCGGCCUGAGAGGGCGACCGGCCACACUGGGACUGAGACACGGCCCAGACUCCUACGGGAGGCAGCAGUGGGGAAUCUUGCGCAAUGGGACGAAAGCCUGACGCAGCGACGCCGCGUGAGGGAUGACGGCCU
rnacentral:rRNA from 1 species